UACGUAGGGUGCAAGCGUUGUCCGGAAUUAUUGGGCGUAAAGAGCUCGUAGGCGGUCUGUCGCGUCGGCUGUGAAAUCCCGAGGCUCAACCUCGGGUCUGCAGUCGAUACGGGCAAACUGGAGUGUUGCAGGGGAGACUGGAAUUCCUGGUGUAGCGGUGGAAUGCGCAGAUAUCAGGAGGAACACCGAUGGCGAAGGCAGAUCUCUGGGCCGUAACUGACGCUGAGGAGCGAAAGCAUGGGGAGCGAACAGG
rnacentral:rRNA from 1 species